GAGUUUGAUCCUGGCUCAGGAUGAACGCUAGCUACAGGCUUAACACAUGCAAGUCGAGGGGCAGCAUGAACUUAGCUUGCUAAGUUUGAUGGCGACCGGCGCACGGGUGAGUAACGCGUAUCCAACCUUCCCCUUAGUAGGGCAUAGCCCGGCGAAAGUCGGAUUAAUACCCUAUGUUAUCCGAGGAGGACAUCUGAAUUGGAUUAAAGAUUCAUCGCUAAGGGAUGGGGAUGCGUCCGAUUAGGCAGCAGGCGGGUAACGGCCACCUGGCCCUCGAUCGGUAGGGGUUCUGAGAGGAAGGUCCCCCACAUUGGAACUGAGACACGGUCCAAACUCCUACGGGAGGCAGCAGUGAGGAAUAUUGGUCAAUGGACGCAAGUCUGAACCAGCCAAGUAGCGUGCAGGAUGACGGCCCUACGGGUUGUAAACUGCUUUUGCAGGGGAAUAAAGUGAGCCACGCGUGGUUUAUUGCAUGUACCCUGAGAAUAAGGACCGGCUAAUUCCGUGCC
rnacentral:rRNA from 1 species